rfam:Schistosoma rodhaini strain Burundi genome assembly, scaffold: SROB_scaffold0001832
AUCCAGCUGACGAGUCCCAAAUGGAACAAAACUGGCGUCCUGGAU